AGUCUUGUCCGCGAGUUGGUGCCGGCCGUGUUAUUGACCACAACAGCUAAUACGUGUGGUGUUAGUUGCGCGCGCCCGUUGAAAACUGUGCGUUUUUUCUUUGAUUUUUAUCAACAAUCUUGAGUCUUCUCUGUUCGACCGCGUGUGUCUGUGGUGAUAUGAAUUUCAAAAAUAGGAGUACUUGACCAGUUGGGGUUCCCACGCCUGGUUUGGGGUAACAGUCAAAUGUAUCAGUGCGGCACUUACCCUUCUCCCUCGGCCAUCGUACACGGAUACCCGCAAACGUCAAAUUGGCAUCCUCAGUGUUAUCCUCACAAGGAUGAGUUCCAUCCAUUUAUCGAGGCUCUGUUGCCCAAUGUAAAAGCUUUUUCGUACACAUGGUUCAACUUGCAAGCGGCCAAACGCAAGUAUUUCAAAAAACAUGAAAAACGGAUGUCGCUGGAAGAGGAGAGACGCUGCAAGGAGGAGCUUAUGAACGAAAAGCCCGAAGUUAAACAAAAAUGGGCGUCCAGGCUUUUAGGAAAACUUCGGAAAGACAUAACUCAAGAAUGUCGGGAAGAUUUCGUGCUGAGCAUUACAGGGAAAAAGCCGGCCAUGUGCGUGUUGUCGAAUCCUGACCAGAAAGGUAAAAUGCGUCGCAUCGAUUGUCUACGGCAAGCGGAUAAGGUAUGGAGAUUGGAUUUGGUGAUGGUUAUUUUAUUUAAAGCCAUUCCACUGGAAAGCACCGACGGAGAACGUUUGGAAAAGUCACCAGAGUGUACACACCCUAGUCUGUGCGUGAACCCUUACCACAUAAAUGUGUCUGUUCGUGAAUUAGACCUAUACUUAGCCAAUUAUAUUAAUAGUCACGAAGUUUUAAGUGGAAUUUAUGACAACAACAAUGAAAAAGGCUAUUCUCACAACCCUUAUAACGGUGUGGUAUGCAAUGAUAACAUUUUAGCGACCGGCGUUUUUUCGUCCAAAGAACUUUGGAGACUAUCCAAAGCCUCUAUAAUUCAAAAUCCAAACGGUAUGCCACCGAUGAACAUUAUCAAAAUCGAAAACCCAGGGUACUAUUGCAGCAGUUUUACCCCACCGGGUGACCAUUCUUCCAUUAUGGCAUCGGGAAGUUACAGUCCUAUGUCAAUACAAAGAACUCAAAGCCCACUAAAUGAACCGCGGAUAAAACGAAUGCGAAGAAUGAGUUCAGCAGAUGAUACGGAAAUCGAUUUGGGUGGUCCUAGAGAAAAGUCCAAUUCGGAAAUUACUUAUUAUAGUCAAAGUCCUGCAUCAUUAUCUAGUCAAACAAGUUGGCAUUCGGAUAUCGAUCACGGUAUUCCUGGUCAGCAUACUGGAAGUAUAGCGUCCUUGGCUUCCACCAACUACUACGGUUCGACCACAUCCGGACCAGAACAACACAGUCCUGCAAAGUACCCAGAAAAUGGGCACGACACUCUUUCAGAUUUUGUCACUUUUGUGUGUCAGGAGGCUGAGAGUUCUCAAGGAGCACAGGGAUGGGCCUAUGGAAAUCAGGCCGGUCCUACACGAAGUCCCAAAAUGGCUCAAUACUAUCCUAGCACUAUGUUGCCACCACCUCCUCCACCUCCGAUGGCCCGUCCAGUAGCCAUCAUACGAUCUACAGGUGAACUUACAAUUGCACCUUCAAAUUCGCCUCCAACUUCAAAUACAUCACCAAUGGGCGGCGAUGGAUCACCUGGUGGUCGAGACUCAGACCAUAGCCCUCCACCGAUGGGCAGUCAGCUAUCUGAAGGUCAACUGUCAUCCAGUGGUCGGAGUGUGGUGACCAGCAGCCCUUUCACAGUGGCUUCAAACAGGGACUACCAUUUCUCCCAUAUUCAACACGGCCAGUUGUUCAGUUAUUCAAACUUGGGAUCCGUAAAUACAGUGUCUGGAGUGAUAAGUCCUACCAAUUUAAGUCUUUUGACAAACGCUGGCAGUACAAGUCCAACAUCAAACCGAUCGCGAAGUCAUUCACAGACCACAUUACCACGAUGGAAUUCUCAAUGUACAACAUCACCUUUUAUCACACUCGAAGAAGAGUACAUGAUGACACCUCUAAUGACCAGCAGUAACGGUCAGGGCAACGGUGGUUCCCUCAUAGAUGAUGGGUGGAUACUUUCAACUUUUGUUUCGAAAGAAUAAAUUGAACCUUAUACUGUGCGUUGAAUUAAAAUUCUUACUCAAGUUAAAGUAUUAUCAAAGAAACAGAUAUUUCAAUAGUGUAGUUCAUCAAACGACCGAAGGGUUAGAUCGGAUGGAUACAAAUGAACCUCAACACAUUCAAUCUUCAAAUUCUUGUGGCCGUAACAGUCCCAACGUGACCGAUGGCUCUCAAGACAACAUAAAUAAAACGCAGUCUUGAUUUUUAAAUUGAAGACAAUUGAUUAAAUAUAGGAAAUUUAUUUUAGUUAAUUAUUCAUGGUUAUUAUUAUUAUUAUUAUUA